UAGGGAAUCUUCGGCAAUGGACGGAAGUCUGACCGAGCAACGCCGCGUGAGUGAAGAAGGUUUUCGGAUCGUAAAGCUCUGUUGUAAGAGAAGAACGAGUGUGAGAGUGGAAAGUUCACACUGUGACGGUAUCUUACCAGAAAGGGACGGCUAACUACGUGCCAGCAGCCGCGGUAAUACGUAGGUCCCGAGCGUUGUCCGGAUUUAUUGGGCGUAAAGCGAGCGCAGGCGGUUAGAUAAGUCUGAAGUUAAAGGCUGUGGCUUAACCAUAGUAGGCUUUGGAAACUGUUUAACUUGAGUGCAAGAGGGGAGAGUGGAAUUCCAUGUGUAGCGGUGAAAUGCGUAGAUAUAUGGAGGAACACCGGUGGCGAAAGCGGCUCUCUGGCUUGUAACUGACGCUGAGGCUCGAAAGCGUGGGGAGCAGACAGGAUUAGAUACCCUGGUAGUCCACGCUGUAAACGAUGAGUGCUAGGUGUUAGACCCUUUCCGGGGUUUAGUGCCGUAGCUAACGCAUUAAGCACUCCGCCUGGGGAGUACGACNCGCAAGGUUG
rnacentral:rRNA from 1 species